rnacentral:rRNA from 1 species
UACGGGAGGCAGCAGGGGGAAUAUUGCACAAUGGGCGCAAGCCUGAUGCAGCCAUGCCGCGUGUAUGAAGAAGGCCUUCGGGUUGUAAAGUACUUUCAGUCGUGAGGAAGGUGUUAAGGUUAAUAACCUUAGCAAUUGACGUUAGCGACAGAAGAAGCACCGGCUAACUCCGUGCCAGCAGCCGCGGUAAUACGGAGGGUGCGAGCGUUAAUCGGAAUUACUGGGCGUAAAGGGCACGCAGGCGGUUAAUUAAGUUGGAUGUGAAAUCCCCGGGCUUAACCUGGGAAUGGCAUUCAAGACUGGUUAGCUAGAGUCUUGUAGAGGGGGUAGAAUUCCAUGUGUAGCGGUGAAAUGCGUAGAGAUGUGGAGGAAUACCGGUGGCGAAGGCGGCCCCUGGACAAAGACUGACGCUCAUGUGCGAAAGCGUGGGGAGCAAACUCGGAGU